AUGAACGCUAGCGGCGUGCCUAAUACAUGCAAGUCGAGCGAACGGACGAGAAGCUUGCUUCUCUGAUGUUAGCGGCGGACGGGUGAGUAACACGUGGAUAACCUACCUAUAAGACUGGGAUAACUUCGGGAAACCGGAGCUAAUACCGGAUAAUAUUUUGAACCGCAUGGUUCAAAAGUGAAAGACGGUCUUGCUGUCACUUAUAGAUGGAUCCGCGCUGCAUUAGCUAGUUGGUAAGGUAACGGCUUACCAAGGCAACGAUGCAUAGCCGACCUGAGAGGGUGAUCGGCCACACUGGAACUGAGACACGGUCCAGACUCCUACGGGAGGCAGCAGUAGGGAAUCUUCCGCAAUGGGCGAAAGCCUGACGGAGCAACGCCGCGUGAGUGAUGAAGGUCUUCGGAUCGUAAAACUCUGUUAUUAGGGAAGAACAUAUGUGUAAGUAACUGUGCACAUCUUGACGGUACCUAAUCAGAAAGCCACGGCUAACUACGUG
rnacentral:rRNA from 1 species